AUCCAGCUGACGAGUCCCAUAAUAGGACGAAACGGUCGUCAAGUAG
rnacentral:hammerhead_ribozyme from 1 species